rnacentral:rRNA from 1 species
UACGGAGGGGGCUAGCGUUGUUCGGAAUUACUGGGCGUAAAGCGCGCGUAGGCGGCUUUGUAAGGUAGAGGUGAAAGCCCGGAGCUCAACUUCGGAAUUGCCUUUAAGACUGCAUCGCUUGAAUCAUGGAGAGGUCAGUGGAAUUCCGAGUGUAGAGGUGAAAUUCGUAGAUAUUCGGAAGAACACCAGUGGCGAAGGCGACUGACUGGACAUGUAUUGACGCUGAGGUGCGAAAGCGUGGGGAGCAAACAGG